rnacentral:rRNA from 1 species
CACCCUCGGGUGGACAGGGAGACAGGUGGUGCAUGGUUGUCGUCAGCUCGUGUCGUGAGAUGUUGGUUAAGUCCGCAACGAGCGCAACCCCUACGUUUAGUUGCUAACGCGUGAAGGCGAGCACUCUAGACGAACUGCCGUUGACAAAAACGGAGGAAGGUGGGGAUGACGUCAAAUCAUCAUGCCCCUUAUGUUCUGGGCUACACACGUGCUACAAUGGCCGGUACAGACGGACGCAAAGCCGCGAGGUGGAGCAAAUCCUAAAAAGCCGGUCUCAGUUCGGAUUGCAGGCUGCAAUUCGCCUGCAUGAAGUCGGAAUCGCUAGUAAUCGCAGGUCAGCAUACUGCGGUGAAUACGUUCCCGGGCCUU